GCAAACUUGGUCAUUUAGAGGAAGUAAAAGUCGUAACAAGGUCUCCGUUGGUGAACCAGCGGAGGGAUCAUUACCGAGUUUACUGAACUCCCAACCCUUUGUGAACUUAUAAUUGUUGCUUCGGCGCUGCGCCCCGCGCCCCCUAGGGGGACGGACCCAGGCGCGCGCCGAGGACCCCAAACUCUUGGUUUUAUUUACGAAGUCUGAGUGGCCUUUUGGCAAACAAAUGAAUCAAAACUUUCAACAACGGAUCUCUUGGUUCUGGCAUCGAUGAAGAACGCAGC
rnacentral:misc_RNA from 1 species